rnacentral:rRNA from 1 species
GGGGGGGGGGGGGGGGGGGGGGGGGGGGGGGGGGGGGGGGGGGGGGGGGGGGGGCGGGCGCCGCGGAGGGUAGCGGCGGACGGGUGAGGAACACGUGGGGAACCGACCUAUAAGACUGGGAUAACUUCGGGAAACCGGAGCUAAUACCGGAUAAUAUAUGGAACCGCAUGGUUCACUAGUGAAAGACGGUUUUGCUGUCACUUAUAGAUGGAUCCGCGCCGCAUUAGCUAGUUGGUAAGGUAACGGCUUACCAAGGCAACGAUGCGUAGCCGACCUGAGAGGGUGAUCGGCCACACUGGAACUGAGACACGGUCCAGACUCCUACGGGAGGCAGCAGUAGGGAAUCUUCCGCAAUGGGCGAAAGCCUGACGGAGCAACGCCGCGUGAGUGAUGAAGGUCUUCGGAUCGUAAAACUCUGUUAUUAGGGAAGAACAAAUGUGUAAGUAACUAUGCACGUCUUGACGGUACCUAAUCAGAAAGCCACGGCUAACUACGUG